rnacentral:lncRNA from 1 species
CUCUUCCAUUCUCUUCUCUAGCAAGAAGAUGAACUCCCCCCCUCGCCUCCCCCCCCUCCCCUCUUCCAUUCUCUUCUCUAGCAAGAAGAUGAACUUUUCAAAAAAAAAUAAAAAAUUGGUCCGAAUUAAAGAAGGCAAAUUGGAAAUUGAUGAAUUAAAGAAGGAAAAUUGAUUUGCGUUUUGGCUGAUUUGUAGUUGGAUCAAGAAGACGAAGAGGAAGAAGAUAAGAAGACGACGAUAACUUUAUGAAGUGGAAGAAGAUAAGAAGACGUC